rnacentral:rRNA from 1 species
UUAAAUUGAAGAGUUUGAUCAUGGCUCAGAUUGAACGCUGGCGGCAGGCCUAACACAUGCAAGUCGAACGGUAACGGGAAGCAGCUUGCUGCUUCGCUG